UACAGAGGGUGCAAGCGUUGUUCGGAAUUAUUGGGCGUAAAGCGCGUGUAGGCGGCUUUGCAAGUCGGGUGUGAAAGCCCUCAGCUUAACUGAGGAAGUGCGCCCGAAACUGCAGAGCUUGAGUACCGGAGAGGAUGGUGGAAUCCCCCAAGUAGAGGUGAAAUUCGUAGAUAUGGGGAGGAACACCGGUGGCGAAGGCGACCAUCUGGACGGAUACUGACGCUGAGACGCGAAAGCGUGGGUAGCAAACAGG
rnacentral:rRNA from 1 species